UACGUAGGUCCCGAGCGUUAUCCGGAUUUAUUGGGCGUAAAGCGAGCGCAGGCGGUUAGAUAAGUCUGAAGUUAAAGGCUGUGGCUUAACCAUAGUACGCUUUGGAAACUGUUUAACUUGAGUGCAGAAGGGGAGAGUGGAAUUCCAUGUGUAGCGGUGAAAUGCGUAGAUAUAUGGAGGACACCGGUGGCGAAAGCGGCUCUCUGGUCCGUAACUGACGCUGAGGCUCGAAAGC
rnacentral:rRNA from 1 species